rnacentral:lncRNA from 10 species
ACAACUAAGUAUUAAAAACAGUUCAUCUGUGCCAGCUUCUACUCUGAAUGAGGAAAUAGCCCCAGAAAGGUGGAGUGACUUAGGAGUCCCACAGGUAGGUCAUAACAAAGUGGGGACUAAGUCAGAAUCCCUGCAUGCCUAUGCCCUCUACCCGCAUGUCGCUUUAACAAAGGAUGUUGGAGCAGACAGACAUCUCCAUUUUAUAAUGAGGAAACAGAGGGAAAAUGGCUCCAGGGGUGCCAAGAUGGAGCCAGGCUGGAAAUCUCUGGAAGCCGGUCUUGUGGACCUCCCUCAUCCCAGCCCCACCCUCUUUCACACUCCCUCUCCUCACAAGGGACCAUGCAAGGGAGAAGUGAGGGAGACAGGCCUCGAGUUGUGGGCACACCUGCCACAGCCAUGGCCGCGUCCUGUGUCACAUGAAUAGGGAUUCUUGCACAUCUCUGACAGAAUCACGUGGCUUUUUGAGGCCACUGGGGCAGCCUGCAAAGGUGGCUGCUGGGAUGGCUACCUCCCUCCAACCUCAGGGCCCUUGGUUGAAGGAAGGGGCUCAUGGAGCCUGGGGGAGAAGGGAUAGACAUCCAGCCAGGGGCAGAUGGGAAGUGAACUUCCCUGAGGGGGUUUGGCGAAGGGGUAGCCCCCACCCAGCUGUCAGCGCAAUCACAGAUUUUCUUUGGGCUGCACAGAACCUGUCUGUCCUGAAGCAAGUGGGAGAGGAGAUGCAGCUGACCUGGGCCCAGAACGCCAUCACUUGUGGCUUUAACGGUGAGUCCUCACCUCUGUGAGCUGCCCCACAGUGGCCUCUUAGAGGUAUGGCCCUCGCACACAGGGGCCUGGGUAUCUGAACCAGCCUCCCAGGCUGCUUUGGGCCUGACAGUUGCAUGGAUGAGGGCAGGACUGGGGAGGCAAUGGGCUGGGUGGGCAUCCAGACCUUAGCUCCAGCACUUCUGGGAACCUCGGUCCCUGAGCCCACAGCCCUUCAUAGCUGGAUGGCCCAACUUCAGCUUCACUGCCUACUCCAGCUGGGAAACCAAGGCCAGCACAGCGCCAGCCAUCAGAGUGAGAGCUGUCACCGUGGCCAGUGGCAGGGCUUGUCCACUCGAGUGGGGAAAUGGUGAUUGUCUGUGCGGAGCCUCAGGAAACAGCAGCUCAUCCCUAACAGCUCUCUCGAGACCUGGCUGCCACAUUCUCACCAGCAGCCAUGCCCAGUCUGUCACUCAGUUGGGCGCCCAUUUCAUAACUAUGGAGGCCAAGGCCCAGAAAGCUUUGUGUCCCCUCCCUGCGCCCAGAAUAAGAUGUUUAUGUGGCCUCCCCACAGCCCUGGAGCAGAUCCUACAGAGCACAGCGGGCAUAUACUGUGUAGGAGACGAGGUAAGCUGUCCCCAGACCUCCCCAGGCCCAGCCACAGUGGCUGCCUCCCUCAUGCUGACCUCCCUCAAGCUCAGAGCUUCCUGAGAAGGCGUCUGCAGGGGGAUCUCUGUGCCAUGGGGCACUCCUCAGCUCACUCCCACUAAACCGUCUUAAGAGGGAGUUACUCAAGGUAGAAGACUGGCUGUGAGAGGAUGAGGCGGGCCAGCAUCAGUUGAGGGAUUGUGCUAGAUGAUGUCUGCGCAGUCAAGGCAAUCCAUCUUCUCUGGCCCUCUCAACCCACAGAGUUGGUUGUCAGGGCAACUGGAGCAUGGCCUGGGAGGGCACUUCAGCUCCGGGGGACAGACUCAUGCAGGCCUAGGGCAGACAAGAAUUGGAGGUGGGAUGGGUGAAAGAGCCGAAGCAGAUUGUUGGUACCCCCAGUAGAGUCGCAGUGGACACACCCAGUCCAGCCACUGACUCUGGGGUAUGCACCCUGAUGGGAACCCACCGGGACCUCUUUCAGGUGACCAUGGCUGAUCUGUGCUUGGUGCCUCAGGUGGCAAAUGCUGAAAGAUUCAAGGUGGAUCUCACCCCCUACCCUACCAUCAGCUCCAUCAACAAGAGGCUGCUGGUCUUGGAGGCCUUCCAGGUGUCUCACCCCUGCCGGCAGCCAGAUACACCCACUGAGCUGAGGGCCUAGCUCCCAAAUCCUGCCCCGUUGGCACAGGGCCACAGGAGCAGAAGCUGGGUGGGCUGAAGAGGCCUGGAAACGAGAGUCUUAAUUGAGGAGAUGGGAGACUCGAACUCUAGCCCUGGAUCUGCCUUCCUGCUGAAACUUGUUCCACCUCAGUCCCCUCAUCUGUCACACGCAUGUGGGGUGGAGUAGGGAGAUGCGGGGAGCAGGGUGGGCAGGAAUACUGUUAUCUAUGUGACGGGGCAGUCGUGAGGCUGAGAUGAGAAUGCGGAUUAAAAUGCCUGGCGUGCUCACCGU